AAACAGCCCAUGCAAAGGAUGUCUUAUCGGGCUAUGCCUCAAUUGAUAAAGUGAACUAAUUGCCUACUUCAAAAGCAGUUUUGCAUGAAAGGUAAGCUUUUGUUUUAUUAUUUGAUGUGUUUUCAAACUAGUCGUCGUUUUCGAAACCCAGCAGAACAUACUUGCGAACUACAACGACUAGACCGAAUAUAUAUGGUGAAAUGUUGCUUAUUUCAUUGUUCUGUCGUCAGAUAAGUUAUUGAUAGUAAAUUUCCCACAUUACUUUCUGACUUUCACAUUCCCUAAGAGGAUCUAAAUGUACGUGAAAUAGGCCUAACUAACAAAAUAUAUUUGUUACUUUCAAUGAGGUUUACAUGGUUGUUCGAUUUUUCAGUUUCAACAUCUAAUUGGAAUUUCUCUGGAAAGUUUACAAUGUCCGAUAUUUCUACACAUCUGCCACAAAUUUAUGGAAAUCAAUAUUUAUAGAAACUGAACAUACCUUGGUUAAACGUAUAUGAAAUGGGUAACCAUCCUCGAAGAACAUCAACCAGCUGUCGGCAAUGUGCAGGUGGACUGAGGAAUUUUCCGGUGUGUCUUUUUAUGGACUGUACUCCGUCUUAGCACAAUCCUUAAUUUUACUCGGGAGUCACCGCUUCAGCCCGGUCCUUCUUUCAUAUAUCUACUGUCUUCAUAUAGAUGAAAGUGUACUAAGGACUCACUAAUCUGCACUACUAGUAACAAAGUAAUCCGACAAUCAGACUGGACCCGGUCAUGUUAGAAUCCAGAGGAAGACAAAAAUAUAAUUGAUUCUGUACUGAUGCAUGACUUCGCUCGGAACGCGGCAAGAAUUAACAAUGGAAGAAAAUACUACAGACGUGUUUAUUAACGAUAAAGUUAUUUUUGUUUUUAUGAAAUAGCGAUUGAAUAAAAAUAUUAGGUAUAUGAGUUUUAUUUAGAGA